AGCUAACUUGCACAGUUUAUGAAAUCCGUCAAUUUCAUCAUAACUUUAUGUAAUAAGUCUUCAUCUUCUCGAUGCAUGGAUCCGUCAAACUGUCACUUUAUCCAAUAUUCUACGGUUUAUUCGCACGUCAAUUUACUUAAAUCGUUGAUGAUACAUAGGAUGCUUUUACUGUUUCAUCAUUAGUAAGAUUCACAUUAAAUUUUUAACAAUAGUUAACUAAAGAAUGGACAUUUAUUUUCGAGAACAAUCAAACUCAAAUGUUCUAAAAUUUUCUCGAACAAAGGUCGCACUUCUCGUUACAAACUUGGUAAAUUUUGUUUCAUUUCGGCCAACCCUACACUAAAUUUUUAGGUGAGCUAGGCAAACCCUAGUAUCCAUGACAAGUGAAAUUUGUCAAAAUGAACUAAUGGAGCUCCAAAAUUUUUAAGAAAUUAGAUGCCACGGGAUGGUCUCCCCGGUUCGAUUUGUAUGACUGUCUCUGAUAAGAUAAUUGUAAAUCCGCCACUAACGAAUCAUAUAAGAUAAAGAUCCAUUAAUGCCCAAGACCGUAUGAUCGCUAAACCACACAUGGUAAUGGAAGGCUAGAUGAUGAAUGUUUCACCUUCGAUAGCAACUUCCAUCGGCUGGACCGAGUUUAGUACAAAAAUUAGUUAAAUGUUGUUUAUUGCAUGAAAAAUUUCCCUCACUUUCUCAUUCUUUUUCUUGUUUUGCUAAUAUGAUAGUACAAGUAAAACGGCUUUUCGUUCCUUUUAUGAUUUUCAUAGACAAUACCAAAUCAGUUUACAUGCCUUUAAUCGUGGCUAUAAACUUUUUAUUACUAUUUCAUCAUUUACAGUUUUUCCUCAUCCUUUCCCCCCUUGUUUUUAUCAAACAGUACUAAUUCAUAACGCUUUACCAUACAUAUUUCGCACUAUCGCUUUGUGUGCGUUCCAACUAACU